UACGUAGGGGGCAAGCGUUGUCCGGAUUUAUUGGGCGUAAAGAGCGUGUAGGCGGCUUUACAGGUCCGUUGUGAAAACUCGAGGCUCAACCUCGAGACGCCGGUGGAAACCGUAAGGCUAGAGUCCGGAAGAGGAGAGUGGAAUUCCUGGUGUAGCGGUGAAAUGCGCAGAUAUCAGGAGGAACACCAGUGGCGAAAGCGCUCUACUGGGCCAUAACUGACACUGAGGGACGAAAGCUAGGGGAGCGAAAGGG
rnacentral:rRNA from 1 species